CCUACGGGGGGCUGCAGUGAGGAAUCUUCCACAAUGGGCGAAAGCCUGAUGGAGCAACGCCGCGUGCAGGAUGAAGGCCUUCGGGUCGUAAACUGCUUUUAUAAGUGAAGAAUAUGACGGUAACUUAUGAAUAAGCACCGGCUAACUACGUGCCAGCAGCCGCGGUCAUACGUAGGGUGCAAGCAUUAUCCGGAGUGACUGGGCGUAAAGAGUUGCGUAGGUGGUCAGUAAAGUGAAUAGUGAAAUCUGGUGGCUCAACCAUUCAGGCUAUUAUUCAAACUCACUGACUCGAGAACAGCAGAGGUAACUGGAAUUUCUUGUGUAGGAGUGAAAUCCGUAGAUAUAAGAAGGAACACCAAUGGCGUAGGCAGGUUACUGGGCUGUUUCUGACACUGAGGCACGAAAGCGUGGGGAGCGAACGGGAUUAGAUA
rnacentral:rRNA from 1 species